GGGAGAAUUAGACAAAAUACCCGCGCACUCGUUUUUCCCAAAUUGAGUUCUCCUCAAGUCCCUUUCUCACAGUCGACGCCCCCACCCAUCAUUUCUUUAGCACCACACCCCCGAGCAGGAGAUUAACACCUAAAACCAUUGAUCUUUUUUGAAGGUGCUCCUGCUAAUAAACACAGAGCACCUAUAUUUUUCUUCGAUCGUGUUCUGUCAAAGUCAGCGUGCUCUCCCAAACUCGACGCUGCACAACCGGUCACAAUAUAGACGCUGAGAAGGAGAUACAACUUACACAAAUUGGAGCCUUGAGAAAUGAGAGCUUGGUGGGGUUGAUUUCGACGUAUUGCGGUAUUCAUUACUUUGCCGGAGGUGGAACCCUGUGACCUCCAUCUAACAUAUUGAUUGCCCGAUUUAUUGCUAAAUGUACAUUGUGUGCCUGUAACAUUCUUGGUGUUUUCGGAAUCUUGUGAACCUCAGCAGUAGAGAUUAUCGAAGGCUUGAAUGAUGAACUUUUGGUGGAGUCCGAUUAUGAGAAUGUCGUGGGUAACAUGGACAGGGGUGAAAAAGAAACAUUAGGACAAAAUGGUCCGGUUGUGCCUGAGGUGAGUAUGAUGUUCAACAACGAAAAUGAAAUGUUCGACUUGUACAAGAGGUAUGCUUAUCAUAUAGGUUUUCCCGUCAGAAAAUGAAACUCAAAAAAGGGGAUGAUGGCGUUCUUAGAUAUGCGACAUUCACAUAUAGUUGCGAAGGCAGAAGAAGUAGUAAUGCGAGUGGUUCUAAGAAACCUAAACUAAUUAGCCAGACACACUAUAAAGCUCUGAUAUCAGCUUCUUCAAAUAGUCGAGGAAUGUGGAGAAUUAACACAGUUCACCUCGAUCACAACCACGAGACUAGUCGUUCCAAAUCUAGGUUGUAUCGAUGCAAUAGAGAGUUGAGUGCAAAUGUGAAAUGUAAACUUGAAGUGUAUGACAUUGUAGGAAUUCCAUUACAUAAAAGUUACAACUCCACAGUUGUAGAAGCAGGUGGUUAUGAGAAUAUGACGUGUAUUGAGAAGGAAUGUAGAAACUAUAUUGAACAAGUGAGACGAUUACGACUUGGAGAGGGAGGUGCCGCUACAAUACAGUCCUACUUUUCGAAAAUGCAGGCUCGAUGCUCGGGAUUUUACUUCAGUAUUGAUUUAGAUGACGAGUCUUGACUAAAGAAUGUCUUCUAGGCAGAUAAUAAGUGUAGGCAAGCAUACAAGGAAUUCAACGAUGUUGUCACCUUUGAUACCACGUACCUAACUAACAAGUACGACAUGUCGUUCGCCCCUUUCGUCGGAGUGAAUCAUCAUGGACAAUCAACAUUGUUUGGUUGUGGUUUGUUAGCUAACGAGGACACCGAUACAUUUGUGUGGCUAUUCAAGACAUGGUUUGAGUGUAUGCAUAAAUAAGCUCCUAAUGCAAUAAUUACUGAUCAAGAUCGGGCUAUGCAGAACGCAAUUGGGUUUUCCCGUCUACGACUACAUAGAUGGUGUUUAUGACACAUUUUGAAAAAGUUGCCGGAGAAGUUUGGCUAUCAUGUUGACAAGGGCAUGAUAUUUUUAGCUUUACACAAUCUGGUUUAUGAUUCACAAACUAUUGAAGAAUUUGAAGAAGGAUGGAGACAAAUGAUCGAUACAUAUGAGUUGUGAGAAUAGUUGGUUGUCAGGAUUGUAUGAUAAUAGAGGUUGUUGGGUUCCUUGUUUUUUAUAAACCACAUUUUGGGCAGGCAUAUCAACAAUUCAACAGAGUGAGAGUAUGAAUGUGUUCUUCGAUGGGUGUAUGCAUUUGAAGACAUCGUUGAAACAAUUUGUAGAGCAGUAUGAAAUAGCACUAAGGAGUAAGGUAAAAAAGGAGUUUCAGGCCGAUUUCAGGUCAUACUCAUAACUGGUGCCCUGCGCAACGAAUAUGAAAUUGAAAAUACCAUCUCAAAGUUCAGAGAAGCACAAGAUGAGUUGAAGGGAAAGGUUCAUUGCGACACCAUAUCUACUAUUGAAGGAUUUUCGAGGACAACAUAUGAGGUGCGUGAGGAUGUGAUUUGUCAUGGGCAAGAAAGAAAAAAACGUUUUUGGUCUCUUUCCAUAUGGAAAGUUGUGAGAUAAUUUGCAGUUGCCACUUGUUCGAGUUCAGGAGGAUUAUUUGCAGACAUGCAAUCGCGGUGUUGAUUCGAAAUGAUGUCACACGAUUGCCUGAGAAGUACACACUACGAAGAUAGAAGAGAGACAUCAGUAGAGCACAUGCGAGGAUUGCAGUAAAUUACGAUCAUUUGGUCAGCACUCCCGGAUAGUUGAGAUACGACGAGAUGUGUAAGGAUUUUUCGCAAGUAGCCGACCUCGCUGCAGAUGAUGAAGUCUGGACACGGGCUAUAAUGGACUGGAUAAAAUCUCAAGCAACAAAGCUUAUGCUGAUGAAGUCGUGUCCAGGAAAUAGUAUUGUUUCACAGCAUGCUCUUCAUUUAGCCUCGCAAUGUAAUGAUUCGCAAACUACCGGUAGCAAGAGCAUAUGGGAUCCAAAAUUGACAAAGCGAAAGGGCGCACCAUAGAGACUUCGGAGAAAAAGUCCAUUGGAGCCUACGUCAAAGAAAUCGACGUUAGCUUCAACAUCAUGCAAAGGAAAGAGACCAAGAUCAAGACAAAGUAAUAUAGAGGAGGCAGUUCUUGAUUUCGUGGCAUCUAAACAACAAUGUUCCACACAGAAACCUUUUUCAUAUUCACAACUCUUAUUGGGCAACGCCUAAAGUUAAGUAUUUUCACAGCACUUGCCACCAUCGAAUUUGAUCCCUCCAUCAUCAACGAAUGUUGAGUUACGUGCCGAAGGUGAAUAAAAUUUUUGAAUCAUCACUGCAUUAAGUUAAAUUUGUUCGUUAGCAUUUACUAAAUUCAAUAUUGUCCAAAUUAUGAUAGGUGGCCCAAAUUUAUAAAUUGGUGGGCUGCAGUUUAUAUGUUAACAAGGCAGGUUGUGCGUAUCGUAACUCUUCUCUUGCAGCUUGAAAUGAUGUCAGCUUGAGUCCAUGCACUUGUUCACCAUUUGAUUGCCUUUCCAUUUUGAAUGAGUAGCUGUAAGAAAUGAAGACAAAUUAGCAUACUUUUGUAACAUAUUGUAGUGUGUUUUACUAGUAUCUAUUGUGAUCGGCCUUUUUUUCCCCCUAUUGGAUGACAACUAUAGCAUGAGGUAAAAUGAGUCAGGGAAACGGACAUGCGGAUAGACCAAGUGGAGAUGUGAAAUUUUGAAAUGAUUUUGAGGUGGUCUACAUAGGAAGUAGUUGCUCUGUGUAUUGAUUUUUUAUGCAUUUCUUACAAAGCUUAAACGUUGUAGACCUUAAGUUUAUGUUAUAUAAUAUCAGUGUGUUUGUCA